rnacentral:rRNA from 1 species
AGAUUGAACGCUGGCGGCAUGCCUUACACAUGCAAGUCGAACGGCAGCACGGGAGCAAUCCUGGUGGCGAGUGGCGAACGGGUGAGUAAUACAUCGGAACGUGCCCAAUCGUGGGGGAUAACGCAGCGAAAGCUGUGCUAAUACCGCAUAAGAUCUACGGAUGAAAGCAGGGGAUCGCAAGACCUUGCGCGAAUGGAGCGGCCGAUGGCAGAUUAGGUAGUUGUGAGGUAAAGGCUCACCAAGCCUUCGAUCUGUAGCUGGUCUGAGAGGACGACCAGCCACACGUGGGACUGAGACCGACGGCCCAG